UUCCUACGGGAGGCAGCAGUAGGGAAUAUUGCUCAAUGGGGGAAACCCUGAAGCAGCAACGCCGCGUGGAGGAUGAAGGUUUUCGGAUUGUAAACUCCUUUUGUUAGAGAAGAUAAUUACGGUAUCUAACGAAUAAGCACCGGCUAACUCCGUGCCAGCAGCCGCGGCAAUACGGAGGGUGCAAGCGUUACUCGUAAUCACUGGGCGUAAAGAGCGCGUAGGCGGGAUAGCAAGUCAGAUGUGAAAUCCUAUGGCUUAACCAUAGAACUCCAUUUGCAACUGUUAUUCUAGAGUUUGGGAGAGGG
rnacentral:rRNA from 1 species